UCUCCGUUGGUGAACCAGCGGAGGGAUCAUUACCGAGUUUACAACUCCCAAACCCCUAUGUGAACGUUACCAAACUGUUGCCUCGGCGGGAAACUCAUGCCCCGGGCGCGUCGCAGCCCCGGACCAAGGCGCCCGCCGGAGGACCAACCAAAGCUCUUUUGUAUGUCCCUCGCGGACCUUUAUAAUUCUGAACCAUCUCGGCGCCCCUAGCGGGCGUUUCGAAAAUGAAUCAAAACUUUCAACAACGGAUCUCUUGGUUCUG
rnacentral:misc_RNA from 1 species